AGCGAACGCUGGCGGCAGGCCUAACACAUGCAAGUCGAACGAACUCUUCGGAGUUAGUGGCGGACGGGUGAGUAACACGUGGGAACGUGCCUUUUGGUUCGGAAUAACUCAGGGAAACUUGUGCUAAUACCGAAUGUGCCCUUCGGGGGUAAGAUUUAUCGCCAUUAGAGCGGCCCGCGUCUGAUUAGCUAGUUGGUGAGGUAACGGCUCACCAAGGCGACGAUCAGUAGCUGGUCUGAGAGGAUGACCAGCCACACUGGGACUGAGACACGGCCCAGACUCCUACGGGAGGCAGCAGUGGGGAAUCUUGCGCAAUGGGCGAAAGCCUGACGCAGCCAUGCCGCGUGAAUGAUGAAGGUCUUAGGAUUGUAAAAUUCUUUCACCGGGGACGAUAAUGACGGUACCCGGAGAAGAAGCCCCGGCUAACUUCGUG
rnacentral:rRNA from 1 species